rnacentral:rRNA from 1 species
UACGGAGGGUGCGAGCGUUGUCCGGAAUCACUGGGCGUAAAGGGCGCGUAGGCGGCAUGCCAAGCGUGUGGUGAAAGCCCGGGGCUCAACCCCGGGUCGGCCGUGCGGACUGGCGUGCUCGAGCACUGUAGGGGCGGGUGGAAUUCCGGGUGUAGCGGUGGAAUGCGUAGAGAUCCUGAAGAACACCGGUGGCGAAGGCGGCCCGCUGGGCAGGAAGGCUCGCAAGAGCCGGCUGACGCUGAGGCGCGACAGCGUGGGGAGCAAACAGG